AAUAUUGGGCAAUGGGCGCAAGCCUGACCCAGCAACGCCGCGUGAAGGAAGAAGGNUUNNGGGUUNUNAACUUCUUUUACCAGNNNNNAAACAAAUGACAGUACCUGGAGAAUAAGCCACGGCUAACUACGUGCCAGCAGCCGCGGUAAUACGUAGGUGGCGAGCGUUAUCCGGAUUUACUGGGUGUAAAGGGCGUGUAGGCGGGAUGGCAAGUCAGGUGUGAAAUCUAUGGGCUCAACCCAUAAACUGCACUUGAAACUGUUAUUCUUGAGUGAUGGAGAGGCAAGUGGAAUUCCUAGUGUAGCGGUGAAAUGCGUAGAUAUUAGGAGGAACACCAGUGGCGAAGGCGACUUGCUGGACAUUAACUGACGCUGAGACGCGAAAGCGUGGGGAGCAAACAG
rnacentral:rRNA from 1 species